rnacentral:rRNA from 1 species
CCUACGGGAGGCUGCAGUGGGGAAUAUUGGACAAUGGGGGCAACCCUGAUCCAGCCAUGCCGCGUGUGUGAAGAAGGCCCUCGGGUUGUAAAGCACUUUCAGUGAGGAAGAACGCCUGGUGGUUAAUACCCAUCAGGAAAGACAUCACUCACAGAAGAAGCACCGGCUAACUCCGUGCCAGCAGCCGCGGUAAUACGGAGGGUGCGAGCGUUAAUCGGAAUUACUGGGCGUAAAGCGCGCGUAGGUGGCUUGAUAAGCCGGUUGUGAAAGCCCCGGGCUCAACCUGGGAACGGCAGCCGGAACUGGCAAGCUAGAGUGCAGGAGAGGAAGGUAGAAUUCCCGGUGUAGCGGUGAAAUGCGUAGAGAUCGGGAGGAAUACCAGUGGCGAAGGCGGCCUUCUGGACUGACACUGACACUGAGGUGCGAAAGCGUGGGUAGCAAACAGGAUUAGAUACCCUAGUAGUC